rnacentral:rRNA from 1 species
GGGUUGUGAGGUUAAGCGACUAAGCGUACACGGUGGAUGCCCUGGCAGUCAGAGGCGAUGAAGGACGUGCUAAUCUGCGAUAAGCGUCGGUAAGGUGAUAUGAACCGUUAUAACCGGCGAUUUCCGAAUGGGGAAACCCAGUGUGUUUCGACACACUAUCAUUAACUGAAUCCAUAGGUUAAUGAGGCGAACCGGGGGAACUGAAACAUCUAAGUACCCCGAGGAAAAGAAAUCAACCGAGAUUCCCCCAGUAGCGGCGAGCGAACGGGGAGCAGCCCAGAGCCUGAAUCAGUGUGUGUGUUAGUGGAAGCGUCUGGAAAGGCGCGCGAUACAGGGUGACAGCCCCGUACACAAAAAUGCACAUGCUGUGAGCUCGAUGAGUAGGGCGGGACACGUGGUAUCCUGUCUGAAUAUGGGGGGACCAUCCUCCAAGGCUAAAUACUCCUGACUGACCGAUAGUGAACCAGUACCGUGAGGGAAAGGCGAAAAGAACCACAAGCGAGGGGAGUGAAAAGAACCUGAAACCGUGUACGUACAAGCAGUGGGAGCACGCUUAGGCGUGUGACUGCGUACCUUUUGUAUAAUGGGUCAGCGACUUAUAUUCUGUAGCAAGGUUAACCGAAUAGGGGAGCCGAAGGGAAACCGAGUCUUAACUGGGCGUUAAGUUGCAGGGUAUAGACCCGAAACCCGGUGAUCUAGCCAUGGGCAGGUUGAAGGUUGGGUAACACUAACUGGAGGACCGAACCGACUAAUGUUGAAAAAUUAGCGGAUGACUUGUGGCUGGGGGUGAAAGGCCAAUCAAACCGGGAGAUAGCUGGUUCUCCCCGAAAGCUAUUUAGGUAGCGCCUCGUGAAUUCAUCUCCGGGGGUAGAGCACUGUUUCGGCAAGGGGGUCAUCCCGACUUACCAACCCGAUGCAAACUGCGAAUACCGGAGAAUGUUAUCACGGGAGACACACGGCGGGUGCUAACGUCCGUCGUGAAGAGGGAAACAACCCAGACCGCCAGCUAAGGUCCCAAAGUCAUGGUUAAGUGGGAAACGAUGUGGGAAGGCCCAGACAGCCAGGAUGUUGGCUUAGAAGCAGCCAUCAUUUAAAGAAAGCGUAAUAGCUCACUGGUCGAGUCGGCCUGCGCGGAAGAUGUAACGGGGCUAAACCAUGCACCGAAGCUGCGGCAGCGACGCUUAUGCGUUGUUGGGUAGGGGAGCGUUCUGUAAGCCUGUGAAGGUGUGCUGUGAGGCAUGCUGGAGGUAUCAGAAGUGCGAAUGCUGACAUAAGUAACGAUAAAGCGGGUGAAAAGCCCGCUCGCCGGAAGACCAAGGGUUCCUGUCCAACGUUAAUCGGGGCAGGGUGAGUCGACCCCUAAGGCGAGGCCGAAAGGCGUAGUCGAUGGGAAACAGGUUAAUAUUCCUGUACUUGGUGUUACUGCGAAGGGGGGACGGAGAAGGCUAUGUUGGCCGGGCGACGGUUGUCCCGGUUUAAGCGUGUAGGCUGGUUUUCCAGGCAAAUCCGGAAAAUCAAGGCUGAGGCGUGAUGACGAGGCACUACGGUGCUGAAGCAACAAAUGCCCUGCUUCCGUGAAAGCCUCUAAGCAUCAGGUAACAUCAAAUCGUACCCCAAACCGACACAGGUGGUCAGGUAGAGAAUACCAAGGCGCUUGAGAGAACUCGGGUGAAGGAACUAGGCAAAAUGGUGCCGUAACUUCGGGAGAAGGCACGCUGAUAUGUAGGUGAAGUCCCUCGCGGAUGGAGCUGAAAUCAGUCGAAGAUACCAGCUGGCUGCAACUGUUUAUUAAAAACACAGCACUGUGCAAACACGAAAGUGGACGUAUACGGUGUGACGCCUGCCCGGUGCCGGAAGGUUAAUUGAUGGGGUUAGCCGCAAGGCGAAGCUCUUGAUCGAAGCCGUGAAAACGGCGGCCGUAACUAUAACGGUCCUAAGGUAGCGAAAUUCCUUGUCGGGUAAGUUCCGACCUGCACGAAUGGCGUAAUGAUGGCCAGGCUGUCUCCACCCGAGACUCAGUGAAAUUGAACUCGCUGUGAAGAUGCAGUGUACCCGCGGCAAGACGGAAAGACCCCGUGAACCUUUACUAUAGCUUGACACUGAACAUUGAGCCUUGAUGUGUAGGAUAGGUGGGAGGCUUAGAAGUGUGGACGCCAGUCUGCAUGGAGCCGACCUUGAAAUACCACCCUUUAAUGUUUGAUGUUCUAACGUUGACCCGUAAUCCGGGUUGCGGACAGUGUCUGGUGGGUAGUUUGAUGGGGCGGUCUCCUCCUAAAGAGUAACGGAGGAGCACGAAGGUUGGCUAAUCCUGGUCGGACAUCAGGAGGUUAGUGCAAUGGCAUAAGCCAGCUUGACUGCGAGCGUGACGGCGCGAGCAGGUGCGAAAGCAGGUCAUAGUGAUCCGGUGGUUCUGAAUGGAAGGGCCAUCGCUCAACGGAUAAAAGGUACUCCGGGGAUAACAGGCUGAUACCGCCCAAGAGUUCAUAUCGACGGCGGUGUUUGGCACCUCGAUGUCGGCUCAUCACAUCCUGGGGCUGAAGUAGGUCCCAAGGGUAUGGCUGUUCGCCAUUUAAAGUGGUACGCGAGCUGGGUUUAGAACGUCGUGAGACAGUUCGGUCCCUAUCUGCCGUGGGCGCUGGAGAACUGAGGGGGGCUGCUCCUAGUACGAGAGGACCGGAGUGGACGCAUCACUGGUGUUCGGGUUGUCAUGCCAAUGGCACUGCCCGGUAGCUAAAUGCGGAAGAGAUAAGUGCUGAAAGCAUCUAAGCACGAAACUUGCCCCGAGAUGAGUUCUCCCUGACUCCUUGAGAGUCCUGAAGGAACGUUGAAGACGACGACGUUGAUAGGCCGGGUGUGUAAGCGCAGCGAUGCGUUGAGCUAACCGGUACUAAUGAACCGUGAGGCUUAACCUUACAACGCCGAAGGUGUUU